rnacentral:rRNA from 1 species
AGGUGCGAUCAUACUAGCACCAAUGCACCAGAUCCCAUCAGAACUCCGUAGUUAAGCGUGCUUGGGCAAGAAUAGUAUUAAGAUGGGUGACUUCCUGGGAAGUUCUCGUGUUGCAUAUC